rnacentral:rRNA from 1 species
UACGUAGGGACCAAGCGUUGUUCGGAUUUACUGGGCGUAAAGGGCGCGUAGGCGGCUUGACAAGUCAGUUGUGAAAUCUCCGGGCUUAACUCGGAACGGUCAAGUGAUACUGUCGCGCUAGAGUGCGGAAGGGGCAAUCAGAAUUCUUGGUGUAGCGGUGAAAUGCGUAGAUAUCAAGAGGAAUACCUGAGGUGAAGACGGGUUGCUAGGCCGACACUGACGCUGAAGCGCGAAAGCCGGGGGAGCAAACAGG